rnacentral:tRNA from 1 species
AUGCAAUGAACUUAAAAUUCAUUUAUAAAGAAAAAUCUUUUUUUAGA